rnacentral:lncRNA from 1 species
CCCGCCCAGUGGCCUUGCUGGGGAAAGGCAACCGGGACAGGUGGGUGUGGGCUCUCUAAGGGACAGAAUAACUCCCACGUGAAUCGCGCACGUCGUAACUGCCCUAAGAAAUGCAGGAAGGGCAGAGAAGUGUCUAAUUCUAAAGCGUAUUUAUUCAUUCUGUCACUCCUUCAAACGUCCCUCUGUCCAUGCACCUGUCCAUAAAUGAGCCAAAGCUUCGUGGAGCCAGACGCUGUGUUGGGUGCUGGCGGUAAAUAACAACGAACCCUGUAUUUGUCCUUAGGGAGCUCACAGUCUAGCGAGGAGUCCCGACUAACAAAUGCUCGUACCAACUAGGCUCUUCUUACAAUCAUGGUCAGCCCUAGGAACUGUAAGGUACAGGUCGCUGCAACAACAAGGUGUCUAAUUUAGACCGGGGCUCAGGUCCCUUGGGGAGUUAGUUACGCUGAGCCGACUCCUGAAUCAACAAGUAUUCCGGGCAGAGGAAGGAGCUUCUGCAAAGCGCUGCGGGCCUGGAAGCAAGACCUAAUUUGCAGAGGGUCCUGCGGGCCGGGUUCAGGAGUACAGCUGUCCCGGAAUUGCGGGACUGAGCAUCCGGAAGGAAGAGGAGGGGGCAGCCCUGCCGGGAUCUUCGGGAUGGAUCGCUCAGGUCAUUGGGAAGACUGACAGAGAAGGUUCUGGACUCCAGCUGGAAGAGGGAGGGCAGGAAGAAUGAAAAGGUUCUGAGAACCACAGGCUGCUCCUCCUCCCUGCUUUGCAAGCGUAGCCUGCCAGCCUGGCCCUGGGGCAUCCGCUGCAGCUCCUGCACCAUCUCAUCCCCUGCCAGCAAGGAGGCUGGGCUGGAUGGCAGUGAAGAGGACUGCAGCCCACCUGCCGACCCUGUGCUGCUGCUUCCCCGAAGAAACCGACCUGAAUAAAACUCAAGGAAGCAGGGGUCCAAUGGUGCGCCCAGUGUGUUACCUGUGUCUCAAUGCUGUCAUUUCAAUUGUCAAGUCGUAACUGUAGGGAGGACAGAAAGAGAGAGAGAGAGAGGGCACGGGGAUUGCUGAUCAAAGAGAACAGUUUCAGAUGGAGAUCUGCAGAGGAGGGUGGCCAUGACCAUCGUCAAGAAUAAUGUCUGGUGUGUUUCAAAGUAAGCGUCCGUUUCACAUGUCUCCUUGGGUUUUGUUUUGUUUUUUGAGUCAGGGUUUCACCAUGUAGUUCAGGCUGUUCUUGAACUCAUCAUGUAGCCCAGGCUGGCCUGGAACUCCUGGCAAACUUCUACAUCAGACUCCCAAGUUCUGGGAUUACAGGCAUGCACCACCAUGCCCGCAGUUUCCUUACAUUUUAAGUGGAGAUGCAUG